rfam:Eucalyptus grandis cultivar BRASTZ1 unplaced genomic scaffold scaffold_1, whole genome shotgun sequence.
GGAUAGCUCAGUUGGGAGAGCGUCAGACUGAAGAUCUGAAGGUCGCGUGUUCAUGUUGAAGCCU